UACGGGGGAUGCAAGCGUUAUCCGGAUUUAUUGGGUUUAAAGGGUGCGUAGGCGGUGGAUUAAGUCAGCGGUGAAAUUUAGGGGCUCAACCUCUACCGUGCCGUUGAUACUGGUUCGCUGGAAUGCGGAUGCCGUGGGAGGAAUGUGUGGUGUAGCGGUGAAAUGCAUAGAUAUCACACAGAACACCGAUUGCGAAGGCAUCUCACGAAUCCGCUAUUGACGCUGAUGCACGAAAGCGUGGGGAUCAAACAGG
rnacentral:rRNA from 1 species